ensembl:snoRNA Small nucleolar RNA SNORA57
CCACUCAUUUGUGUAUCUAUGCUUGUGCAGUGCAUAUGUAUGUCAAUAGUGGAAACGAGAAAAGCCAGUGCUAUGCCUUCGGUGCUAGUGGGUGUUCUGUCUCCUAGUACUAUUCUCAAUCACUGGCACAUGC